rnacentral:misc_RNA from 1 species
UGAUCGUACAGAUAAACAAAGAUUGUGAAUAAAAGCAGCCAUUACAUCUGUUUGACUCGGUUUGAUUCGUACAUCUCUGCUCUUAGCUCUUUCAGUACAAUGUCGAUAAAGCUAUACUCGUGUUAGGAUUUUGAGAUGUGAAUUAUUGAUUUCUAUUAGUCUUAAGAAUUGGAUUCUGUCGCUUGAUCCCCUUGACUUUCACUUGCUU